GCUGCUUGAAAUGCAGGUGCAGCUGGACAUUCUCCUGAGCUAUAAGCAUAUUUAUUUAGUCCCGUCAAACGGAUUAUUACUUUUGCUGCAGCUAACAUAAAGGAUAAUUGUCCUCAUUGCUGACUGAUGCAGGAUUUUACGACACUUUAUGUGUUGUUCAACUCGAUCUCAAAUCAAGUAAGACUACCCGCUGAACUUAA
rnacentral:misc_RNA from 1 species